GCGAGCCUGAUCCAGCCAUGCCGCGUGAAUGAUGAAGGCCUUAGGGUUGUAAAAUUCUUUCAGCAGGGAAGAUAAUGACGGUACCUGCAGAAGAAGCCCCGGCUAACUCCGUGCCAGCAGCCGCGGUAAUACGGAGGGGGCUAGCGUUGUUCGGAAUUACUGGGCGUAAAGCGCUCGUAGGCGGAUUGGUCAGUCAGGGGUGAAAGCCCGGAGCUCAACUCCGGAACUGCCUUUGAUACUGCCAGUCUUGAGUUCGGGAGAGGUGAGCGGAAUACCGAGUGUAGAGGUGAAAUUCGUAGAUAUUCGGUGGAACACCAGAGGCGAAGGCGGCUCACUGGACCGAUACUGACGCUGAGGAGCGAAAGCGUGGGGAGCAAACAGGAUUAGAUACCCUGGUAGUCCACGCCGUAAACGAUGAGAGCUAGUUGUCUGGCAGCAUGCUGUUAGGUGACGCAGCUAACGCAUUAAGCUCUCCGCCUGGGGAGUACGGCCGCAAGGUUAAAACUCAAAUG
rnacentral:rRNA from 1 species